GACGAACGCUGGCGGCGUGCCUAAUACAUGCAAGUAGAACGCUGAAGGAGGAGCUUGCUUCUCUGGAUGAGUUGCGAACGGGUGAGUAACGCGUAGGUAACCUGCCUGGUAGCGGGGGAUAACUAUUGGAAACGAUAGCUAAUACCGCAUAAUAGCAGUUGUUGCAUGACAACUGUUUGAAAGGUGCAAUUGCACCACUACCAGAUGGACCUGCGUUGUAUUAGCUAGUUGGUGGGGUAACGGCUCACCAAGGCGACGAUACAUAGCCGACCUGAGAGGGUGAUCGGCCACACUGGGACUGAGACACGGCCCAGACUCCUACGGGAGGCGGCAGUAGGGAAUCUUCGGCAAUGGACGGAAGUCUGACCGAGCAACGCCGCGUGAGUGAAGAAGGUUUUCGGAUCGUAAAGCUCUGUUGUAAGAGAAGAACGAGUGUGAGAGUGGAAAGUUCACACUGUGACGGUAUCUUACCAGAAAGGGACGGCUAACUACGUG
rnacentral:rRNA from 1 species